rnacentral:rRNA from 1 species
AUUGAACGCUGGCGGCAUGCCUUACACAUGCAAGUCGAGCGGCAGCGCGGGGCAACCUGGCGGCGAGCGGCGAACGGGUGAGUAACACAUCGGAACGUAUCUUCAAGUGGGGAGUAACCUAUCGAAGGUAAGGCGUAAUACCGCAUAAGCAAGGGAGUUGGAAAGACGGGGAGUUCGCGAGGACCGUCGCGCUUUUGGUAGCGGCCGGAUGUCGGAGUUAGGUAGUUGGUGGGGUAAAGGACGUCACCAAGCCUGCGAUCCGUAGCGGGUCGUGAGAGGAUGAU